rnacentral:rRNA from 1 species
GUCAGCAGCCGCGGUAACACCGGCGGCCCGAGUGGUGAUCGUGAUUAUUGGGUCUAAAGGGUCCGUAGCCGGUUUGGUCAGUCCUCCGGGAAAUCUGAUAGCUCAACUAUUAGGCUUUCGGGGGAUACUGCCAGACUUGGAACCGGGAGAGGUAAGAGGUACUACAGGGGUAGGAGUGAAAUCUUGUAAUCCCUGUGGGACCACCUGUGGCGAAGGCGCCUUACCAGAACGGGUUCGACGGUGAGGGACGAAAGCUGGGGGCACGAACCGGAUUAGAUACCCGGGUAGUCCCAGCCGUAAACGAUGCUCGCUAGGUGUCAGGCAUGGUGCGACCGUGUCUGGUGCCGCAGGGAAGCCGUGAAGCGAGCCACCUGGGAAGUACGGCCGCAAGGCUGAAACUUAAAGGAAUUGGCGGGGGAGCACAACAACGGGUGGAGCCUGCGGUUUAAUUGGACUCAACGCCGGACAACUCACCGGGGGCGACAGCAAUAUGUAGGCCAAGCUGAAGACUUUGCCUGAAUCGCUGAGAAGAGGUGCAUGG